rnacentral:tRNA from 1 species
GCUCUUAUAGUUUAAUUAAAAACAUUAGUCUUGUAAACUAAAAUAGGACGCCCUAAGAGCUC